AUAAUGUUUCAAAGUCAUAACUUUAAAGAAGAAGUAUUCUUUUCAUUUCCAAAAUUAAUAUAUCAUAUAUAUUUAAAUUUUAGGAACAUGAUUAACUCCCAUAUACAUUCUAUCUUCAUAUAAUGUUUGAAAGUUAUAACUUUAAUGAAGAAGUAUUCUUUUCAUUUCCAAAAUUAAUAUAUCAUAUAUAUUUAAAUUUUAGGAACAUGAUUAACUCCCACUAAUCUUUUGUAAACCUAGGAAACAAAAGAUUCAUUUACAUCUUUAUGAGAAAUCAAACGAUUUGAUCAUUUUCUCAUAAGAUGCUCAUAGCUCCCACUAGCUUGCUUAGAUUCAUGAUGGAUGGAUCUCUACAACUUACAUGUCUUGUGAUUCAUAGUUUUAGACAUAUAUUAUCAAGACUAUCUUAAUAAUGGUUUCGGAAACCCAUAUUAUGUCCAAACAUUGAAUCACCAUUUAGUUGUAGCUAGCUAUCUUCGAAUUAAUUGAAACCAAGACUACGUCAAAAAUGGUUUCUUCAAAGUCAACCAUCCUUUUGAUUGUAGUUACCUUAAGCUACCAAUUAGCUUAUGAAGGUUUCAUUAUUUCGGGUCAAAUGGUACUUUACCAUUUUCUUGAGUAUAUAUCAUAUAUACACUCAAUGUAGUCAUAAGGAUUUUCAUUCUUAUUUCUUUCGAAUUAAGAGGUGCAACUCUAUGACAUAGUCAUAAAGUUCAAACCAUUCAACUGAGAUGGUUUAUAAAUCCUUCUCGACUACCUUGGAGCUUUUGGUAUAGGAGCUAGGUUGUUUAUAUUUGUUGAUUACUUUCUUGUCUCUCAAAGAACCCAUUCUUUGAGUUCUAUCUCUCGUUCAUUUGCUUUUAGGAAAAUCACAUUGUAGGAUUACAAUGAACUACCCAACAAAACAACAUUUGUUAAUUGGUUUAUAGAAGCGAU
rnacentral:lncRNA from 1 species